GACGAACGCUGGCGGCGUGCUUAACACAUGCAAGUCGAACGGUGAAGCGCCUUCCUUUUUGGUGGGUGUGGAUGAGUGGCGAACGGGUGAGUAACACGUGGGUAACCUGCCCCCUUCUUCUGGAUAACCGCAUGAAAGUGUGGCUAAUACGGGAUAUUCUGGGUCUGUCGCAUGAUGGGUCUGGGAAAGAUAUUGUUUCGGUGGGGGAUGGGCUCGCGGCCUAUCAGCUUGUUGGUGGGGUGAUGGCCUACCAAGGCGGUGACGGGUAGCCGGCCUGAGAGGGUGGACGGUCAUACUGGGACUGAGACACGGCCCAGACUCCUACGGGAGGCAGCAGGGGGGAAUAUUGCACAAUGGGCGCAAGCCUGAUGCAGCGACGCCGCGUGAGGGAUGGAGGCCUUCGGGUUGUGAACCUCUUUCGCCAGUGAAGCAGGCCUGCCUCGUUUGUGGGUGGGUUGACGGUAGCUGGAUAAGAAGCGCCGGCUAACUACGUG
rnacentral:rRNA from 1 species